rnacentral:rRNA from 1 species
GUACGGGAGGCAGCAGUGGGGAAUCUUGCACAAUGGGCGAAAGCCUGAUGCAGCGACGCCGCGUGUGUGAUGAAGGUCUUCGGAUCGUAAAGCACUUUCGAUCGGGACGAAACACCCGGGGGCGAAUACCCCUCGGGCUUGACGGUACCGGUAGAAGAAGCAACGGCUAACUCUGUGCCAGCAGCCGCGGUAAUACAGAGGUUGCGAGCGUUGUUCGGAAUUAUUGGGCGCAAAGCGCGUGUAGGCGGGACGGCAUGUCGAAUGUGAAAGCCCUCGGCUCAACCGAGGAAGUGCGUUCGAAACUACCGUUCUUGAGUGCCGGAGAGGGUGGCGGAAUUCCCGGUGUAGAGGUGAAAUUCGUAGAUAUCGGGAGGAACACCAGUGGCGAAGGCGGCCACCUGGACGGACACUGACGCUGAGACGCGAAAGCGUGGGGAGCAAACAGGAUUAGAUACCCGAGUAG